rnacentral:rRNA from 1 species
AUUGAACGCUGGCGGCAUGCCUUACACAUGCAAGUCGAACGGCAGCACGGGUGCUUGCACCUGGUGGCGAGUGGCGAACGGGUGAGUAAUACAUCGGAACAUGUCCUGUAGUGGGGGAUAGCCCGGCGAAAGCCGGAUUAAUACCGCAUACGAUCUACGGAUGAAAGCGGGGGCCCUUCGGCCCCCGCGCUUUCGGGUUUGCCGCUGGCUGAUUAGCUAGUUGGUGGGUAAAGGCCUACCAAGGCGACGAUCAGUAGCUGGUCUGAGAGGACGACCAGCCACACUGGGACUGAGACACGGCCCAGACUCCUACGGGAGGCAGCAGUGGGGAAUUUUGGACAAUGGGCGAAAGCCUGAUCCAGCAAUGCCGCGUGUGUGAAGAAGGCCUUCGGGUUGUAAAGCACUUUUGUCCGGAAAGAAAUCCUUGGCCCUAAUACGGUCGGGGGAUGACGGUACCGGAAGAAUAAGCACCGGCUAACUACGUG